rnacentral:lncRNA from 1 species
AGAGACAGCAGCUGAGAAGUUGAGAGCUGGCGUCAUUAGAACAGGCUGGGAAAUAUGAGUGUGAGGCAUGUCUCGGCAGGAAGGUCCAGCAUUGGCCGGGGAACAAAGCAGACUUCUUGGCAUGCCCUCUCGCUGAGGCUAUGUGAACUGCUGGGCAGGCCGGCCUGCUUAAAGAUCUCACUCCGGACAAGUAAACACCAAUACCACCAACCUGAGUAGGCCUUCCAUGAAAUACUGGGGACACUAAGAAGCCACACCCCCUGAAACAUUCUAUGGUCAUUCAGCAUUUGAAGCAAAUUGGAAAGGUGAAAAACCUGAUAAGUGGGUGCCUCAUGAGCUCACCGAAAAUUUUUUUAAAAAUUGUCGUUUUGAAGUGUCAUCUUCUCUUAUUCUAUGCAACAACAAUGAACCAUUUCUUGAUUGGAUUGUGAUGUGCGAGGAAAAGUGGAUUUUAUAUGACAACUGGCGAUGACCAGCUCAGUGGUUGGACCGAGAAGAAGCUCCAAAACACUUCCCAAAGCCAAACUUGCACCAAAAAAGGUCCUGGUCACUGCUUGGUGGGCUGCUGCUGGUCUGAUCCACUGCAGCUUUCUGAAUCCCUGGGAAACCAUUACACCUGAGAAGUAUGCUCAGCAAACCAAUGAGAUGCACCAAAAACUGCAAUGCCUGCAGCUGGCUUUGGUCAACAGGAAGGGCCCAAUUCUUCUCCACCACAAUGUCCGACUGCACAUCACAACCCACGCUUCAGAAGUUGAACAAAUUGGGCUACGAAGUUUUGCCUCAUCUCCCAUGUUCACCUGACCUCUCGCUGAGAAGUAGCUUUGGAGCUUCUUCUCGGUCCAAACACUGAGCUGGUCAUCGCCGGUUGUCAUAUAAAAUCCACUUUUCCUCGCACAUCACAAUCCAAUCAAGAAAUGGUUCAUUGUUGUUGCAUAGAAUAAGAGAAGAUGACACUUCAAAACUACCACUUCUUCAAGCAUCUCAACAACUUUUUGCAGGGAAAAUGCUUCCACAACCAGCAGGAUGCAGAAAAUGCUCUCCAAAAGUUUGUCAAAUCCUGAAGCAUGGAUUUUUAGGCUACAGGAAUAAACGUAUUUCUCACUGGCAGAAAUUUAUUGAUUGUAAUGAUUCCUUUUUUGGUUAAAGACAUGUUUGAGCCUAGUUAUAACGACUUACAAUUCACGGUCCAAAACUGCAAGUACUUUUUGCACCAGCGAGAUGUGCAUAUGAGAAGCUUAUUUCACCAAGCCUCUUAUCUAGUCAUCUGUAUAAUUAUUUCAAGCACAGGAGGGACCCUACUUCUUACUGGGGAGGAUUAAGGAAGGCUUCCUGGAGGAUUGUCUCAGAGCUUGCUGCAGGUGCAUAUUGAAAAGCAAUUCAUUACAAUUUUCUAUAAGAGACUGUGGCUGAACAAUGAUACACAGGUAUGGUCAGAACUUUGUGUAACAAUUUCUGCAUCACAUGUGUAGAAAUCUUAAGGAAAGGAAUACUCUCUCUCAGCAAGUUGAGCCCUGUAGCCAGAUACUUUGAGUAGUGUUUCCUGAAUCUUUAAAACCCACUGACUUCAAAUGGCAUGACUUCCAGAGUAUAGAGGUGGGUAUAAAGAGCAACUCAGCCCCCCACACCCUUAAAAUCACAUCUUGUCAAAAACUUGAAGACUUUCAGGACUUGUGG